UGGGGAAUUUUGGACAAUGGGCGAAAGCCUGAUCCAGCAAUGCCGCGUGUGUGAAGAAGGCCUUCGGGUUGUAAAGCACUUUUGUCCGGAAAGAAAUCCUUGGCUCUAAUACAGUCGGGGGAUGACGGUACCGGAAGAAUAAGCACCGGCUAACUACGUGCCAGCAGCCGCGGUAAUACGUAGGGUGCAAGCGUUAAUCGGAAUUACUGGGCGUAAAGCGUGCGCAGGCGGUUUGCUAAGACCGAUGUGAAAUCCCCGGGCUCAACCUGGGAACUGCAUUGGUGACUGGCAGGCUAGAGUAUGGCAGAGGGGGGUAGAAUUCCACGUGUAGCAGUGAAAUGCGUAGAGAUGUGGAGGAAUACCGAUGGCGAAGGCAGCCCCCUGGGCCAAUACUGACGCUCAUGCACGAAAGCGUGGGGAGCAAACAGGAUUAGAUACCCUGGUAGUCCACGCCCUAAACGAUGUCAACUAGUUGUUGGGGAUUCAUUUCCUUAGUAACUAGCUAACGCGUGAAGUUGACCGCCUGGGGAGUACGGUCGCAAGAUUAAAACUUAAAUGAAUUGACGGGGUCAUAGCUGUUUCCU
rnacentral:rRNA from 1 species